ACCAGAUAGUCAAUGUCUGACAGGUUAGCCUCCUCAGUGGGAAGGACCACCAUCUUGCUCUGGCAAGAAAGCAAGAAAAAGGCUCCCGUAGUAGUCCUCUUUGCUGCGUGAAAACAACACAGUCGGCUUCACCUGGAUGUCUUCCUCUGCCGGGGAGGGAGAACCUCAAUGGAUCUGUCCGUCCACGACGCCUACAAAUAUCAAACCAUGAAAACAUGGACAAUCAGAAAACUACAAUGUGGCUCAGAUCAUAAAGUUAAAGAUUAGACUCUA